rnacentral:rRNA from 1 species
UACUUAGGUGUUGGAAAAUAGACUAACAAGACCUCCCUGAGUAAUGGCGAAUGGGCAGGGUUUUUCUCAAUGUGGGAACUGAAGCACAUAGCUCCGAAUUGUGACAACAUGCGGUGUUGCCCAUGGGAUUGUAACUGUAGGCCCUUGGAAAUCUGCAAUGGCAAGGGUGAUGCUCCUGUCUGUGAGUUGGAACUUUACAUCAAUGGUACAUUUUCAAAGAGUCAUAUCUCUCAGCAUUGGUGUGCGAAGUUGGUAAUGCAUUAGAUUUAAAGCAAAAUAACUACCCUAGACUGAUAGCAGACAAGUACCACGUGGGACAAGUGAGACACAACCUUGAAAAGGGAGGCGAUGACAUUUGAACUUGCUGAGUUGAGGAACUGUGGAGUUUGGCUGAAUGUGGCGACGACAUUGGAGAGCCCAUGCAGUCAGUAAUUCAAGCACCAAUGGCUGCAAUCUGAUUGGGUGAUGGCUGGUGACAGUUGCCAAAACUUUCACAUUGGUUUGCCAAUCGCGGAAUGGGUUUGGAUUUCUGUUUAGUUCUCACACGUAACAGUUUCCAUUUCUUUUCAUCAAAGUUCCUAUUGAAGACUUUCUGAGACUGCUCAUCCCGUCUUGAAACACGGAUCAAGGAGUUGAACAUGUAUUCAGGUUGAUAUGUUGGACAGCACGUUUGCACGAUGAAAGUGAUGAUUGGGAUAUUUGCACAUGGUACUACCCUCAAACAUUGGGGACUUGUGAUGGAGCAUGCAUGUUAGGACCCGAAAGGUGGUGAACUAUGUCUAUGAAGAACGAGGGCAGGGGAAACCCUGGUGGCGGUUUAUACUGGUACUGACGUGCAAAUUGUUCACAGUACAUGGGUAUGGGGGUGAAAGACUCAUCGAAUCAUCUAGUAGCUGGUUCCCUCCGAAAUAUCCCUCAGGAUAGCAGGGGAUGAAUAAUCUCAUCGUGUAAAGCAAAUGAUUAGGGGAGUCAGGCAUGCUCUGUUGUUGACCUAUUCUCAAACUCUAAACAGAUGAGACCAAGCGAUUACAUAUGAGAGUUGCAUGGAGAGAUAAAUUCCCCGAGUGGGCCAUUCUUGGUAAGCAGAACUGGUGAUGAGGGAUGAACCUAGUGUUGUACCCAUGUGCCUAUUUGUUCACAUAGCAGAAACCAUGAAGGGUGUUGGUUCAUCCAAACAGCUGGACAAUGGUCAUGGAAGUUGAAAUCUGCCAAGGAGUGUGUAAUAACUCACCUGCCAAAUGGAUUAGCCCCAAAAAUGGAUAGCACUGCAGUGCCCAGAUGUUUUGCAACUGUCAUUGUACUUAGUAUGUGUUGAUGAAUAGGAGGGCAUGAGGGUUUGUGCUGAUGCUUGGGGUGAAAACCUGUGUUCAGGAACCGUUUUAUC